GAUAUUGGCCAUACCUCCCUGAACACUCCCAAUCUCAUCGGAUCUUAAAAGAUAAGCAAAGUUGGGCCUGGUUAGUACUUAGACGACAGGAUCUCAGAGAAAAUAAACUAUCAAAAUUA
ensembl:rRNA 5S_rRNA 5S ribosomal RNA